GACGUAGGGCGCGAGCGUUGUCCGGAUUUAUUGGGCGUAAAGAGCUCGUAGGCGGCUUGUUGCGUCAGCUGUGAAAACCCGCAGCUCGACUGUGGGCUUGCAGCUGAUACGGGCAGGCUUGAGUUCGGUAGGGGAGACUGGAAUUCCUGGUGUAGCGGUGAAAUGCGCAGAUAUUGGGAAGAACACCGGUGGCGAAGGCGGCUCACUGGCUCAUUUCUGACGCUCAGGCGCGACAGCGUGGGGAUCAAACAGG
rnacentral:rRNA from 1 species